rnacentral:rRNA from 1 species
GCUUGGGAACUUGCCUUUGCGAGGGGGAUAACCACUGGAAACGGUGGCUAAUACCGCAUAAUGUCUACGGACCAAACGAGGGCUUAGGCUCUUGCGCAAAGAGAGGCCCAAGUGAGAUUAGCUAGUUGGUGGGGUAAAGGCUCACCAAGGCAACGAUCUCUAGCUGUUCUGAGAGGAAGAUCAGCCACACUGGGACUGAGACACGGCCCAGACUCCUACGGGAGGCAGCAGUGGGGAAUAUUGCACAAUGGGCGCAAGCCUGAUGCAGCCAUGCCGCGUGUGUGAAGAAGGCCCUAGGGC